rnacentral:rRNA from 1 species
GAUGAACGCUAGCUACAGGCUUAACACAUGCAAGUCGAGGGGCAGCGGGAUUGAAGCUUGUUUCAAUUGCCGGCGACCGGCGCACGGGUGAGUAACGCGUAUCCAACCUUCCGCUUACUCGGGGAUAGCCUUUCGAAAGAAAGAUUAAUACCCGAUUGUAUCUUAAGCACGCAUGAGAUUAAGAUUAAAGAUUUAUCGGUAAGCGAUGGGGAUGCGUUCCAUUAGGUAGUAGGCGGGGUAACGGCCCACCUAGCCAACGAUGGAUAGGGGUUCUGAGAGGUUGGUCCCCCACACUGGAACUGAGACACGGUCCAGACUCCUACGGGAGGCAGCAGUGAGGAAUAUUGGACAAUGGGCGGAAGCCUGAUCCAGCCAUGCCGCGUGAAGGAUUACGGUCCUAUGGAUUUUAAACUUCUUUUGCACGGGAGCAAUAAGGGUCACGCGUGGCCCGAUGAGAGUACCGUGCGAAUAAGCAUCGGCUAACUCCGUGCCAGCAGCCGCGGUAAUACGGAGGAUGCGAGCGUUAUCCGGAUUUAUUGGGUUUAAAGGGAGCGUAGACGGGUCCUUAAGUCAGCUGUGAAAGUUUGCGGCUCAGCCGUAAAAUUGCAGUUGAAACUGUGGGGCUUGAGUACGGUCGCGGCAUGCGGAAUUCGUGGUGUAGCGGUGAAAUGCAUAGAUAUCACGAAGAACCCCGAUUGCGAAGGCAGCAUGCCAGCCCGCCACUGACGUUGAGGCUCGAAGGUGCGGGUAUCAAACAGGAUUAGAUACCCUGGUAGUCCACGCAGUAAACGAUGAUCACUAGGGGUUUGCGAUAGACGGUAAGUCCCCGAGCGAAAGCGUUAAGUGAUCCACCUGGGGAGUACGCCGGCAACGGUGAAACUCAAAGGAAUUGACGGGGGCCCGCACAAGCGGAGGAACAUGUGGUUUAAUUCGAUGAUACGCGAGGAACCUUACCCGGGAUUGAACGCAGUCUGACAGGGGUGGAAACACCCUUUCUAGCAAUAGCGGAUUGCGAGGUGCUGCAUGGUUGUCGUCAGCUCGUGCCGUGAGGUGUCGGCUUAAGUGCCAUAACGAGCGCAACCCUUGCCGACAGUUACUAACAAGUAAAGUUGAGGACUCUGUCGGGACUGCCAGCGUAAGCUGCGAGGAAGGCGGGGAUGACGUCAAAUCAGCACGGCCCUUACAUCCGGGGCGACACACGUGUUACAAUGGCGUGGACAGAGGGCGGCCACCUGGCGACAGGGCGCAAAUCCCGAAACCACGUCUCAGUUCGGAUCGGAGUCUGCAACCCGACUCCGUGAAGCUGGAUUCGCUAGUAAUCGCGCAUCAGCCAUGGCGCGGUGAAUACGUUCCCGGGCCUUGUACACACCGCCCGUCAAGCCAUGGGAGCCGGGGGUACCUGAAGUCCGUAACCGCGAGGGGCGGCCUAGGGUAAAACUGGUGACUGGGGCUA